rnacentral:rRNA from 1 species
AGUCGAGCGAGCUGAACAGCAGAUUCACUUCGGUGAUGACGCUGGGAACGCGAGCGGCGGAUGGGUGAGUAACGCGUGGGUAACCUGCCCUAAAGUCUGGGGUACCACUUGGAAACAGGUGCUAAUACCGGAUAACAACAAUAGCUGCAUGGCUAUUGCUUAAAAGGCGGCGAAAGCUGUCGCUAAAGGAUGGACCCGCGGUGCAUUAGCUAGUUGGUAAGGUAAUGGCUUACCAAGGCGACGAUGCAUAGCCGAGUUGAGAGACUGAUCGGCCACAUUGGGACUGAGACACGGCCCAAACUCCUACGGGAGGCAGCAGUAGGGAAUCUUCCACAAUGGGCGAAAGCCUGAUGGAGCAACGCCGCGUGAGUGAAGAAGGUUUUCGGAUCGUAAAGCUCUGUUGUUGGUGAAGAAGGAUAGAGGUAGUAACUGGCCCCUAUUUGACGGUAAUCAACCAGAAAGUCACGGCUAACUACGUGCCAGCAGCCGCGGUAAUACGUAGGUGGCAAGCGUUGUCCGGAUUUAUUGGGCGUAAAGCGAGCGCAGGCGGAAAGAUAAGUCUGAUGUGAAAGCCCCCGGCUUAACCGAGGAAUUGCAUCGGAAACUGUGUUUCUUGAGUGCAGAAGAGGAGAGUGGAACUCCAUGUGUAGCGGUGGAAUGCGUAGAUAUAUGGAAGAACACCAGUGGCGAAGGCGGCUCUCUGGUCUGUAACUGACGCUGAGGCUCGAAAGCAUGGGUAGCGAACAGGAUUAGAUACCCUGGUAGUCCAUGCC